rnacentral:misc_RNA from 1 species
ACCAAAAGUGAUUGUUGCUGAUUUGAACCAACGGAACCCCUUGAACCACUGCAUGUUUGUCUUGAAUUUCAAGAGCCAUUUUUGUAAUUAUAGCCUGAAGUUUUGUUCCGACGGCCAAUAUAAUCGCGACAGGAACUAGUGAAAUCCAGAACAAUGUGUGCCAUCCAUUGACAUUAAAAAGCAAGAAUAUCACAGCUGAAGCCCAAAAUGGAGGACUG